rnacentral:snoRNA from 1 species
UCCUAUUACAGCAUAGAAUCAUUUCUAUAGUAAACGUCCUCUUCUGAGCUUCUUAAAGUUGCUACAGACUCUAUCCUGGACGAUGAUUCGAUCCUCGAUGCCCUAGAGUGAGGCCUUAUACUUUCGAACUGUCUGAAAAGAUGGCGGCAUCUGCGCAAGCAUCUGCUGUAUAGAGAGUGGCGAUGAUCUCGACCCUUUCUUCAUUGGCUUCGGCCGUGGGGACUGGGUGGGUGUCGAUGGACGUCUGACAGGU